rnacentral:lncRNA from 1 species
AAAGAUUGUGUCUAAAUGUACUCAUCUAGUUGCUUUGAGUUCUAAGUUGAAGGUCAUGUUUGGUAUGGAAUUUUGAUGGUUUUUAGACAUGUAAUGUUUGAAAUUUAGCCUUGAAAAUCAAUGUUUAAACAAUACUAAUUUAGGCACAAUUUGAUUUGAUGGCAUAGUAAUAGAUAUAAAGGUUUUCAAGUCAUUUUAAACUUGUAUUAAGUUGAUUUUGGAAGUAACAGGUUGUCACGUUGCGAUGACAAACCCUAGCGUUGC